rnacentral:rRNA from 1 species
UACGGAGGGUGCGAGCGUUGUCCGGAAUCACUGGGCGUAAAGGGCGCGUAGGCGGCCCGGUAAGUAGGGGGUGAAAUCCUGCGGCUUAACCGCAGGGCUGCCUUCUAAACUGCCAGGCUCGAGCACAGUAGAGGCAGGUGGAAUUCCCGGUGUAGCGGUGGAAUGCGUAGAGAUCGGGAAGAACAUCGGUGGCGAAGGCGGCCUGCUGGGCUGUUGCUGACGCUGAGGCGCGACAGCGUGGGGAGCAAACAGG